rnacentral:lncRNA from 1 species
AGCUGAUGAGAAUGUUCCUUCACGCCUGCGGAUGCCUGCCCUACACAGUCCUGAGAAAUGAAUUGUGGGACCCAGAGAAUUGUCAAAGAUAAAUUAUUUAGUGUACACUUCCACAGAAAUUCAACCCUGGUUUUGUGUUGGUUAAUUGUUUUGGAGUACCAAAACGUUUAUCCGCAACAUUUACUAAGUUGUCAUAUCAAAAGAAAAAGUUAAUGAUCAUCGAUUUUUUUGUAUUCCUUUUGCCACGUUGACGUUGGAACAGGUGAUUUAACGUGUUCUGUAGUCUCACUAUUCUAUGUAUUUUGGUAUUUGCCCCAAAAGGCAGGCCCACAGGCAAGUGCUCAGGGAGAACUGAACAUUUGACCACUAUGCCCCAGACAGCGAGUAACCCCCUGAGAUUCCACAUUGGUGCAAAGACACUUCCAGAGGGCAAACAGAACUAUUGCUCUGAAACUGCAGACCCCGCACCAAAGAGCUCGGUGAUGUAUUCCUGCAAUGGUUCACUGGACACCCCAGCUAAUGAGCAGAGGUACAGACAUGCCCCCUGUCGUCCCAGGUUUAGGUGGAAAUGGAGGAAGAAGUCAAAAAAACCAUUGCCGUCAUUGCCAUCAUUGCCAUAUGUGGAAGAGAACUGGGAGGAGGAGAUAAAAAUGGUUGAGGAGUGUGGAUUAAAUCCCUAUGGCCCAGAGGAUGUGGCCAGCUCGGCUCUGCAGGAGCUGAAACUGACCCCGACCCCUUGUUCCCCCCAGAUAAGAGCGGACUACCUCCCCUCCACCCACCACCAGGCCCCCAUCAGAUGGGUCCGUCACAUCAACCACGUCGUGGAGGAGCAGUUUGCCAACGCCGAGGAUUGAGGUCAUUGUGUGUCUGACAAGGCUUUUAUAAGUUAGCCCGUUAAAUAUGGGGAGCUCUUAGGAAUGAUUUUUAUUUGGCUUCUUCACCGGUGUUUUGGUUCCGCUUAUUCUUUGUUUGGUUGUUCACUUCAACAUUGAUUAUGGUUAAAAUCUUGAAGCCUUGUUGACAGGUCUUAUGUGGAGAACUUCAUGAUAUUUGUGAAUGAUUUCAACAAUAUGUAGUCCUGCCAAACAAAAUGAGAAACUCCUUAUUGUUUAGGCCUUUGUUUUAAAAUCAAUUAACUGAAUAAAGGCCAUUUGUUCUUCUGAAAUCAAAUUCAUUGUUAAGUGAUAGGGUAAGAAGAUGUUUAUUUAUUUCACUAAUGUGUUUGGAUAGAUCCCCCUGUGCCUAUGGAGAACAGCAGUGCAACUCUCCAUGAUUGCAUGAAUGAGGUUCGGAUUUGAAAUCCAGAAUCUUUUCAGGGAAAAUAAACCGUUUC